GGUCAGUGAUGAAUAGUAAAAGGUCUGAUUUGCCCAGUAGUUUUGCCUCCUUCACCUUUGCAGCUCCCAGCAGUUUCUCUUCCAUCAUACUCUAGAAAUGCUAUGAUUGGGAGACUGUUUGCUGAUAAGUAGUGAUGUAUCCAGCUUGUGUUACUCUAGAGUGCUGGGUAGACUCAGCUGAAAUUGCUAUCCAACAUAACCAGAUAAAGGAGUUUGAGGUGUUGGAGCCAUGUCUCUGGGUAUAUGAUCUCAAAUGUUUAGCUGAGACC